CAGCGCCGACCAAAUUUCCUCAGAACCCUCCAGACCCCCUCCCAGAGGGUGACCCUCUCCAACGCCGUCCGAAAUCCACCACCGGUCGACCUUCUGCCGAGUUUCGCAUAAAAUCGGACGUCACCAACAGAAAGCUUUCGUCCGAGCUCCUACAGCAGAUGACUUUCGCCUGAAAUGUCAGCGACCUCAGAACAUCCGGGCCUCUCCCAGAAUGACAAUGUGAAGAGCCGCUCUGCUUCAUCAGGCAUCCUAGCCGAGCUUCGAUCGACAGAUCCGAUCUCUCUGACAAGCCACGACAAGAGCCGCCACCCUGCUCCACUCCCUGCAACAGAUUUCACGCGGCUCCACCACUCUCUGACAAGCCACGAUAAGAGCCGCCACCCUGCUCCACUCCCUGCAACGGAUUCCAUGCGGCUCCACCACUCUCUGGCAAGUCACGACAACAAACACCACUCCACUCCCCACGACAAGCUCCACGUGGCUCUGAACAGCCCCUGACGCCACUACUCUCCGCAACAAACUCCUCAUGGCCCUGAACGGCCCACUACCAAGCAGUUACAAACGUUGCUAUCAAUCUUUUACGCCCUCCGCCUAUAAAAAGAGGGAUCUCAGAUACGUUAUUCUCUAAGCUCUAAUUUCUAUCUCAAAAUUUUGAUAAAAUUCUCAUUCGAGCACUCCAUUUUUGUUGAGGCAGAGAACUGACUUGAGCGUCAGAGGAUCUUGCCAGAGCACCCCCAACUCC
rnacentral:lncRNA from 1 species